UGGUGCUUCGCUGACGAGUGGCGGACGGGUGAGUAAUGUCUGGGAAACUGGCUGAGUGGGAGGGGGAUAACUACUGGAAACGGUGAGCUAAUACCGCAUAACGUCGCAAGACCAAAGAGGGGGACCUUCGGGCCUCUUGCCAUCGGAUGUGCCCAGAUGGGAUUAGCUAGUAGGUGGGGUAACGGCUCACCUAGGCGACGAUCCCUAGCUGGUCUGAGAGGAUGACCAGCCACACUGGAACUGAGACACGGUCCAGACUCCUACGGGAGGCAGCAGUGGGGAAUAUUGCACAAUGGGCGCAAGCCUGAUGCAGCCAUGCCGCGUGUAUGAAGAAGGCCUUCGGGUUGUAAAGUACUUUCAGCGGGGAGGAAGGGAGUAAAGUUAAUACCUUUGCUCAUUGACGUUACCCGCAGAAGAAGCACCGGCUAACUCCGUGCCAGCAGCCGCGGUAAUACGGAGGGUGCAAGCGUUAAUCGGAAUUACUGGGCGUAAAGCGCACGCAGGCGGUUUGUUAAGUCAGAUGUGAAAUCCCCGGGCUCAACCUGGGAACUGCAUCUGAUACUGGCAAGCUUGAGUCUCGUAGAGGGGGGUAGAAUUCCAGGUGUAGCGGUGAAAUGCGUAGAGAUCUGGAGGAAUACCGGUGGCGAAGGCGGCCCCCUGGACGAAGACUGACGCUCAGGUGCGAAAGCGUGGGGAGCAAACAGGAUUAGA
rnacentral:rRNA from 1 species